rnacentral:misc_RNA from 1 species
UGUAACUUUGUUGUUUGUACUGUGUGCAAACUUUUUCAAAACAUGAUUGCAUAUUAACAACGCCCGGUAAAGUCCUUUGAGAGAAAUAUUAUUGAGAAUAAUUUGAGUUCAUUUCUUUGAAAUCACAUAUAAAAUCAUUAUGCCUGCAGGCUGCAAACUUGUAACAAGAACUGCUAUACUACUUACAUCCAGUACUUUUGUUGCACGUUAUUUUUUUUCACUAAUAGUUAACUGGUUAUUAUUCAAAACCAGUCUUUCAAUAAACUGCAAUUCCAAAAACCCAACCCUCCAAUAAUGCUGUUCACUUAACUUAUACCUGACAAGUGUCAGAUCCACAAUCUUAUCUCCGUCGUUAUGCUUCUUCAGUGAGUUGCAAUUUAUUACUCCCAUGGCACAAAAUAAACUUCUGGAAUGCAUGAAUGGCGAACAUCACAGUGAAAAGUAGAAAAUACUAGUCAGGGAGCCAACCGCACAAUUUUCCAUGCUUGUUUCCCACGGAUCUCUUGAGGAACAUAUUGCAACCUGUCAUGCAAGCGAGACU